rnacentral:rRNA from 1 species
GAUGAAUGCUGGCGGCGUGCCUAACACAUGCAAGUCGAGCGGCAGCGCGGUCUUCGGACUGGCGGCGAGCGGCGGACGGCUGAGUAACGCGUGGGAACGUACCCCAAAGUGAGGAAUAACUGCCCCGAAAGGGUAGCUAAUGCCGCAUAUGGUCUUCGGAUUAAAGGAUUUAUCCGCUUUGGGAACGGCCUGCGUACGAUUAGGAUUGUUCGGUGAGGUAAAUGGCCUCACCAAGUCGACGAUCGUUAACUGGUCUGAGAGGAUGAUCAGUCAGACUGGAACUGAGACACGGUCCAGACUCCUACGGAGGCAGCAGUGAGGAAUCUUAGACAAUGGGGGAAACCCUGAUCUAGCCAUGCCGCG